rnacentral:lncRNA from 1 species
GAGGCAUUCAAAUAGAUCACUUUAUUUUACACAAGAUCACCUACAUAACCACAGAAAAGGGAAAAAACACUGUUACUACUACUGGACCUCUUUGAUCAAACAAUCUCAGAAUCCACAUCCAAGCAGACUUUCCCAGAUCCUGCUCUAUAAGUCCCAGAAUGUAUAUGCUUGAGGUAAGUUAUCACUUAAUCCUAACUAUAUUUGUGAAAGAAAUGGCCAUGAAAUGAAUGAA